rnacentral:rRNA from 1 species
UCCGGUUGAUCCUGCCGGCGAGCACCGCUAUUGGAGUUCGCUUAAGACAUGCGAGUCGAGGGGGUUUAGACCCCCGGCAUACUGCUCAGUAACACGCGGACAACCUACCCUAAGGUGGGGGAUAAUCCCGGGAAACUGGGGACAAUACCCCAUAGGUCUCCUAUGCUGGAACGCUUGGAGGCUCAAAUCUCCGGAGCCUUAGGAUGGGUCUGCGGCCUAUCAGCUUGUAGUGGGUGUAAAGGACCCACUAGGCGGUGACGGGUACGGGCUUUGAGAGAAGUCGCCCGGAGAUGGAUUCUGAGACACGAAUCCAGGUCCUACGGGGCGCAGCAGUCGCGAAAACUCCACAAUGUGGGAAACCACGAUGGGGGAACUCCAAGUGCUGACGCUUUGCGUUAGCUGUUCUCUGGCCUAAAAAGCCGGAGAAGUAAGGGCCGGGUAAGACGGGUGCCAGCCGCCGCGGUAAUACCCGCGGCCCAAGUGGUGUUCUUUUUUAUUGAGCCUAAAGCGUCCGUAGCCGGCCUUGUAAAUCUCUGGGUAAAUCGGGCAGCUUAACUGUCCGAAUUCCGGAGAGACUGCAAGGCUUGGGACUGGGAGAGGUUGAAGGUACUCCAGGGGUAGGGGUAAAAUCCUGUAAUCCUUGGGGGACCACCAGUGGCGAAGGCGUUCAACUAGAACAGAUCCGACGGUGAGGGACGAAGCCCUGGGGCGCAAACGGGAUUAGAUACCCCGGUAGUCCAGGGUGUAAACGCUGCAGACUUGGUGUUGGGAUUCCCGCGAGGGAUUCCAGUGCCGGAGAGAAGUUGUUAAGUCUGCCGCUUGGGGAGUACGGUCGCAAGACUGAAACUUAAAGGAAUUGGCGGGGGAACACCGCAACGGGAGGAGCGUGCGGUUUAAUUGGAUUCAACGCCGGACAACUCACCGGGGGCACGCUUACAUGAAGGUCAGGCCGAUGACUUUACCCGAUUUUGCGAGAGGUGGUGCAUGGCCGUCGUCAGUUCGUACCGUAGGGCGUUCUGUCAAGUCAGAUAACGAACGAGACCCUCAUCCUUAAUUGCCAGCCUUUCCUCCGGGAAAGGGGAACAUUAAGGAGACCGCUGGUGCUAAAUCAGAGGAAGGAGAGGUCAACGGUAGGUCAGUAUGCCCCGAAUCCCCCGGGCUACACGCGCGCUACAAAGAGUGGGACAAUGGGGUUCGACACCGAAAGGUGGAGGAAAUCCUGAAACCCACCCGUAGUUUGGACUGAGGGUUGUAACUCACCCUCACGAAAAUGGAUUCCGUAGUAAUCGCGGGUCAACAUCCCGCGGUGAAUAUGCCCCUGUUCCUUGCACACACCGCCCGUCAAACCAUCCGAGUUGGGUUUGAGUGAGGGUAACACAUCUUGUGUUUUUCGAACUCAGAUUCAGCAAGGGGGGUUAAGUCGUAACAAGGUA